GGAACUUUGAGGAUGCAUUGUUUUGAAAUAUUUCUCAAAAUUUUAUCAUCAAAUACCUGCAAAAACAGCCACAUUUUCUGAAAUUUCUUGCAGCAAAGCCAGUGCAGAUUGGUCGUAAAAUUGAUUGUCUACUAGCAGGUCUAGGUUCUAAUAUAUGAGCCCCCUUUAACUUAGUGAUUUUUUAAGAAUAAUGCAAAUACGCAAUGACUAUUAGUAUUUUUUGUCAAGGAUUUAUCUAUUAGUGAUGAUAUUGAACUUGUGUGCCUUUUCUUUCUUUCUUUUUUUCCUUUUUUUUAGGUGUUUGUUGAUUGUUUUUGGGUUGUUUGAUUGGUCCAGGAAUAUCAGAUUGGGUAAUGGGUUCUUAAUUUGAAGCUCUGUUUUUGUAAUAACUGGUGGGUGGAGUGAUGGGUUGGGUGUUCUCUGAAGUUAUUCUGGUCUUCUUGCUUCUUGCUGCUACAAUUGCUACAGUUGAACCCAAUGGUUUUGAGGGUUUUGAGGGUUGAAGUUUGUAUUUCUGAUACAUAUUUGAAUCUAUUCAUGCCCAUCCUCAUUUGAGUUGAGUUGUCGGACCAAAACUUGUGUUUGUUCUUCUGAGGUUAUGCAAUUUCUGCAGAUGUCUCAGUAAAAUCCCAUUGUGUGAUCACAAAUUGAAUCUUGGUUUCUGUACUAUCAUUCGGUGGGGAUAUCCUAAUUGGGAUUCUGGCUUUACUAGAUCUAUUGGGUUCUUUGCAGAAAUCAAUAAUACUAGAUCUAUCUGUUGCUGAGAUAACUAAGAAAUUAUAUAUUUUGAACUUAAGUCUUAUCUCCUGAGUUGAUUUUGAUUCCAGAAAAAUGGAGGCAUAAGAGGAAGAGAACCCUCCUUAGCUAGACUCUAUGUUGUUUUUCAGGUUACAGACAAAAUAUUUAAUGUUUCUUUUUGUAGUAAUUGUGGAUGUAGGAUAUAUGUUUGAUAAUGUGUCAUAAUGAUAUUUUCAUGUUAAUUUUCUCAUCAUGAAUGCUGAUUCCCAGGUCUUAACUACCAAUAUCUAAAGUGCAAAUUCUGAUGAAAAUAAGUAUGCUAUGUUAGUCCUUCUGACAAAAAUUAUUUCAUUUUUCUCUUGGUUUUUGAACUAGACUAAUUGUAUGCACCUGCAGUUUUGUUUCUCCUCUGUAGUUUCUCCCAUGUCUGUUUUCUCAUUUGUCCUGGAUAUUUUCCCUUAAUUUUCUCUUUGUUUCACAUGGUUAAGGAGAGCAUUGUUUAUGGUUGGGGCCACUAAGUACCAAUUUAGCUACUAGUUUGUUGUGCAAUGUCUCCUAACUUCUGGAUUGGUAUUCAUCAAUUAAUAAAGUGAUUGAAGUUAGGCUUUUGCUCCCCCAAAUAAUCAACACUAUAAUACCGUAUGUUAACUAGUAAGAGGACUACCAUAUCAGUGUACAGUAUUGGAUUCCCCAUGAACUUGGAACUUAAUUUCAUUUAUGGUUGCCAUAUAGUUGGUUAUAAUUUUGUUAUCCUUUUCAUUCUGUGUCUUAAAAUGAUAUGAGAGGCUUCUGUGUUGGUUGCAGGAAUGUUAAUGGAUCUUGUUUCUCCUUUGUUCCCUUCAGCAUUUGUGUUCAUAGUUUGCUUAGGGAGCCUAUCAAGAUUGUUCAGUAAGGCGGAGCAACUAGAGCUGCAUUGACACAACAUAAACGCUGCAGGUAUAUCUGCUGAGGAAGGAAGCCAGGAGACAGUGGAGACAAUGGUUGUCAUGGCUUUCGGAAUGCUUCUUGCUUGCAUUACAAUGGGAAACUCUGUAGCUAUUUGGUCACCAUGUUUCAUAUGUAUGUUCUAUCCCCACAAGAGGUCUCUAAGAUGGAACAUGUUCUACCUUUAUGGGCCUCAUCAUGGAGCUUGAAGAAUGCAAAGUCUCUACAUAGAUGGAUGGCUAUGUGGGUCUCCUCACUUGAUCAUCUGGAAAUGGGAGUUUUUGAGUCCAUUAAGCUUAUGCACUAAAUAUCAGGGUUGCCUCAGGUGCAGGGUUUACUCUGCCAACUGGAAACAUGGCAAUUUCAAGAAUGCCAAUUUUUCAGUCUCUUUUCUGCAAUGAUGUACUGGGGAACCCUCUUAGAACCAUUGAAUUACUAUUUUCCAUA